rnacentral:rRNA from 1 species
AGGACGAACGCUGGCGGCGUGCUUAACACAUGCAAGUCGAACGGUGAUCCACUUCGGUGGUGAUCAGUGGCGAACGGGUGAGUAACACGUGGGUAACCUGCCUCUUGCUCUGGGAUAACUCCGGGAAACCGGGGCUAAUACCGGAUAUUCAUUUCUGACCGCAUGGUUGGUUGUGGAAAGUUUUUUCGGCGAGAGAUGGGCCCGCGGCCUAUCAGCUUGUUGGUGGGGUGAUGGCCUACCAAGGCGACG